CAGGAAGUCAAAGUUUUCACCCAGACAAUAUGUCCCUUUCCUGCAAAUGUCCCCUGAAAUCACAGAGCUUUCAGAGAAUGUGCUCAACUGUCAUCACACAACAUAAGGCCAGAACCUGUCACAGCAAGGGGCCAAAGAAAGUUAUGGACCAGGAGUCUGGAUGGUUGGAUUAACGCCAAGGAGGCCACCCACAACUGAUCAGAGAAGUCACAGGCCAUCAGGAGAGAUCAUUUAAUCCAGGACGAGGAGGUGCAGGAGUGCGAGGGAGGAUUUCCAGAACAUCACAUCUCCCCUUGGUUGUGGAAUUAAAGUGGUGAAUAAUACAUGGCUGAAAGCAUCUGUCUCUCCGCGCUGCAUCCUCUCUUGGACACCGGGGGAUUUGAA